rnacentral:tRNA from 1 species
GAGUCACUAGUAAAAUUAAUUACUCUGCCUUGUCAAGGCAAUAUUGCGGGUUAAAACCCUGCGUGUCUUA